rnacentral:tRNA from 1 species
GGAGAGGUGUCCGAGUGGUUUAUGGUGCCGCUCUCGAAAAGCGGUGUCGCCUUUGGCGACCGUGGGUUCGAAUCCCACCCUCUCCG